rnacentral:tRNA from 1 species
GUUUUGGUAGCUUAUUUGGUAAAACGCUCGUUUAGCAUACAAGAGUCCUGGGUUUGAAUCCCAUCCGAACACG